AUACCUGCAGCUCGAGUGGUGACCACUAUUAUUGGGCCUAAAACGUUCGUAGCCGGUUUAUUAAAUGCCUGGGUAAAUCGUACGGCUUAACCGUACGAAUUCUGGGUAGACUGAUAGACUUGGGACCGGGAGAGGCUAGAGGUACUCCUGGGGUAGAGGUGAAAUUCUGUAAUCCUGGGGGGACCACCAGUGGCGAAGGCGUCUAGCUAGAACGGGUCCGACGGUGAGGGACGAAGCCCUGGGGCGCAAACCGGAUUAGAUACCCGGGUAGUCCAGGGUGUAAACGCUGCUUGCUUGAUGUUAGUCGGGCUCCGAGCCCGAUUAGUGUCGGAGAGAAGUUGUUAAGCAAGCUGCCUGGGAAAUACGGUCGCAAGACUGAA
rnacentral:rRNA from 2 species